UGGAGGGACUGAGAGCUCUCGGACUAAAUCUAAAAUAUCUUAAACUGUGUUCAGAAGAUAAACGGAGGUCUUACGGGUUUGGAACAACAUGAAGGAUGGAGACUCAGGAUGGCUGCAUCUGUUAUUGUCUCGCUGGAUGAAGACUCUGAAUGACUGAGACUCAGAACAAGAAGCAUCUUUUGGAAGGGCACAUUUAUUCCUUUCAGAUGAGGAGGAGAUUGUGUUUUCAUGCUUCUCCAUUUCCAUGCUGCAUUGGCUGUUUCCAUCAGAGUGGGGAACAUAGCGUGGCACAUUUUCAUCAUUUCAUUUUUCAUUUGGGGUUUACAGAUCGGUUUAUGGCUUCAACAUUUAAUUCGCACAGGUGGGCAGUGCUGAAAUGCUCCUUUCGUCUGAUUGGUCGAAUCGCUCCUCCUUCAGUACGUCCCUUUCAUCCUUUCAGGCAGAAUAAGAGUCAGUACGAGUGUGACACACUGUAAUGCCUGAAUCCACCACUCACUGUUAAUUAACAUAUAAUGAAUGAUAAAGAAAUUAUUGUGA